CUACAAUGAUGUGCUUUUUUAGGACACCUUUGGGUUUACCAUGAAAAUUAGUCAUUUCUGAGCGGC
ensembl:snoRNA SNORD58 Small nucleolar RNA SNORD58